UACGUAGGGUGCGAGCGUUGUCCGGAAUUAUUGGGCGUAAAGAGCUCGUAGGUGGUUUGUCGCGUCUGCCGUGAAAGCCCGGGGCUUAACUCCGGGUCUGCGGUCGAUACGGGCAGGCUCGAGUUCGGUAGGGGAGACUGGAAUUCCUGGUGUAGCGGUGAAAUGCGCAGAUAUCAGGAGGAACACCGGUGGCGAAGGCGGGUCUCUGGGCCGAUACUGACGCUGAGGAGCGAAAGCGUGGGGAGCGAACAGG
rnacentral:rRNA from 1 species